AUUGAACGCUGGCGGCAGGCUUAACACAUGCAAGUCGAGCGGAGCGAGGGUGCUUGCACCUUAGCUUAGCGGCGGACGGGUGAGUAAUGCUUAGGAAUCUGCCUAUUAGUGGGGGACAACAUUCCGAAAGGAAUGCUAAUACCGCAUACGCCCUACGGGGGAAAGCAGGGGAUCUUCGGACCUUGCGCUAAUAGAUGAGCCUAAGUCGGAUUAGCUAGUUGGUGGGGUAAAGGCCUACCAAGGCGACGAUCUGUAGCGGGUCUGAGAGGAUGAUCCGCCACACUGGGACUGAGACACGGCCCAGACUCCUACGGGAGGCAGCAGUGGGGGAUAUUGGACAAUGGGCGGAAGCCUGAUCCAGCCAUGCCGCGUGUGUGAAGAAGGCCUUUUGGUUGUAAAGCACUUUAAGCGAGGAGGAGGCUACUAGUAUUAAUACUACUGGAUAGUGGACGUUACUCGCAGAAUAAGCACCGGCUAACUCCGUGCCAGCCGCCGCCGUAAUAC
rnacentral:rRNA from 1 species